GGGAUUGCCUUAGUAACGGCGAGUGAAGCGGCAACAGCUCAAAUUUGAAAUCUGGCCCCUUCGGGGUCCGAGUUGUAAUUUGUAGAGAGUGUUUCGGGUGAGACCACGGUCUAAGUCUAUUGGAACAUUACGUCAUAGAGGGUGAGAACCCCGUAUGCGACCGUGGCUCGAGCCCAUGUGAAGCCUCUUCGACGAGUCGAGUUGUUUGGGAAUGCAGCUCAAAAUGGGUGGUAAAUUUCAUCUAAAGCUAAAUACUGGCUGGAGACCGAUAGCGCACAAGUAGAGUGAUCGAAAGAUGAAAAGCACUUUGGAAAGAGAGUCAAACAGUACGUGAAAUUGUUGAAAGGGAAGCGCUGGCAACCAGACCUGCCCGUGGGCGAUCAGCCGCUGUUCUCAGCGGUGCACUCGUUCCGCGAUCAGGCCAGCAUCGGUUUCGGCGGUCGGAUAAAGGCCCGGGGAACGUGGCUCCCUCUCGGGGGAGUGUUAUAGCCCCGGGCGCAAUGCGGCCAGCCGGGACCGAGGACCGCGCUUCGGCUAGGAUGCUGGCGUAAUGGUUGUCAGCGACCCGUCUUGAAACACGGACCAAGGAGUCUAACAUCUAUGCGAGUGUUUGGGUGUCAAACCCAUGCGCGGAAUGAAAGUGAACGGAGGUGAGAACCCUUUAGGGCGCAUCAUCGACCGAUCCAGAUGUCUUCGGAUGGAUUUGAGUAUGAGCAUAGCUGUUGGGACCCGAAAGAUGGUGAACUAUGCCUGAAUAGGGUGAAGCCAGAGGAAACUCUGGUGGAGGCUCGCAGCGGUUCUGACGUGCAAAUCGAUCGUCAAAUUUGGGUAUAGGGGCGAAAGACUAUCGA
rnacentral:rRNA from 1 species